GGGUAGCGACCGGUUAAAUCAAUAGAGUCGGAUAAGCAUGUAGAGCCAAAGGCGGAGGAUUCGCGGACGCGGGUUCAAUUCCCGCCGCCUCCACCA
rnacentral:tRNA from 3 species